rnacentral:rRNA from 1 species
UGGGGAAUUUUGGACAAUGGGCGCAAGCCUGAUCCAGCCAUGCCGCGUGCAGGAUGAAGGCCCUCGGGUUGUAAACUGCUUUUGUACGGAACGAAAAGCCUCUUUCUAAUAAAGAGGGGUGAUGACGGUACCGUAAGAAUAAGCACCGGCUAACUACGUGCCAGCAGCCGCGGUAAUACGUAGGAUGCGAGCGUUGUCCGGAUUCACUGGGUGUAAAGGGAGCGCAGGCGGGCUUUCAAGUCAGUGGUGAAAUCUCACAGCUCAACUGUGAAAUUGCCGCUGAUACUGUAGGCCUUGAGUACGGAAAAGGGUGAUAGAAUUCAUGGUGUAGCGGUGAAAUGCGUAGAUAUCAUGAAGAAUACCAGUUGCGAAGGCGGUCACCUGGUCCGUUACUGACGCUCAUGCUCGAAAGUGUGGGGAGCAAACA